UACAGAGGUCCCAAGCGUUGUUCGGAUUCAUUGGGCGUAAAGGGUGCGUAGGUGGCGCUGUAAGUCGGGUGUGAAAUUUCGGGGCUUAACUCCGAAACUGCAUUCGAUACUGCGGUGCUUGAGGACUGGAGAGGAGACUGGAAUUCAUGGUGUAGCAGUGAAAUGCGUAGAGAUCAUGAGGAAGACCAGUGGCGAAGGCGGGUCUCUGGACAGUUCCUGACACUGAGGCACGAAGGCCAGGGGAGCAAACGGG
rnacentral:rRNA from 1 species